GCAAGUCGAGCGCAGUCCUUCGGGACCGAGCGGCGGACGGGUUAGUAACGCGUUGGAAUAUACCCAGAUCUAAGGAAUAGCCUCGGGAAACUGAGAGUAAUACCUUAUACGCCCUUCGGGGGAAAGAUUUAUCGGAUUUGGAUUAGCCCGCGUUAGAUUAGGUAGUUGGUGGGGUAAUGGCCUAACAAGCCUACGAGCUAUAGCUGGUUUGAGAGGAUGAGC
rnacentral:rRNA from 1 species